UACAGAGGGGGCAAGCGUUAUUCGGAAUUAUUGGGCGUAAAGGGCGCGUAGGCGGCUUGGCAAGUGGAUGGUGAAAUCCCUCGGCUUAACCGAGGAACUGCCAUCCAGACUGCUUUGCUUGAGGCCGGGAGAGGUGAGUGGAAUUCCCAGUGUAGCGGUGAAAUGCGUAGAUAUUGGGAGGAACACCAGUGGCGAAGGCGGCUCACUGGACCGGUUCUGACGCUGAUGCGCGAAAGCGUGGGGAGCAAACGGG
rnacentral:rRNA from 1 species